rnacentral:lncRNA from 1 species
UCAAAUUUACAUCAAAUCAAGAUUACAAGAUUCGUGCACUUCAGAGCCGCCUAUAAUAAAAGAUAAAUAAAAAAGGAAGGCCAAUGUGAUCUCCGAAUCUGAUUCGUGUCCACAACUUUUACAUAGAUAACAAGGAAUGAGCUAUGAGUCUAUGUGUUGAAAGUUGGAUAUGAGGUCUUCGAUAUUGCUAAUGCGAUUUUGUAAUGCCCAAAGAGAUCAUACUUGUUCUUUCUUCAAAAUCUUAACUAGAUUCAUCAUGUCAUCACUCUCAGUUUCCAAAUUCGAUACUCCUCUCCUUCCCAAAAAUAAUCCUUUUAUCACUAAUGAAUGCUUGGUUGAGUUUGGCAUCCACUUCCAAAGUUGACCUGCAACCAAAUCAACCAAUUUCCAGAGUAGCUCGGUUUGGCCAAGUCGUGCCCUUCCUUGUGCCGAGAUCCAUUAAUCCAAUCCUUAAAACAAGAGAACCUUAUGUUCGGGAACUUCUGGUUGAAUGAGUUUGGAUGAUGGCGUGGCUGCGCUUCUCGAGCGCUUCGGGUGAGGGUUGAGCCGGAAGGGUCGGUUGAGUCCUCGCGAGCGACUGGGGGUUAACACUCUAAGCCCAGUCGACUUGAGUGUCGUUUAUGGCGAGAUGUGUCAUUUCGUUCCCGGGAUAAUUGGCAAUCUUCCUUCGUGAGCG